ACAAAAGCGAAGAAUAGAAAGAGUAAUUUCGGACCACGUUUUUAGAGAGAUUCCGUUUGGUGAAAGGGAUUAUCAAUGUUUGAAACGAAAAUCAUCUAUGAGCUGCCAGGCAAAUAAAGUAGUCUCGGCUGGGAAUUCCCAUUACAGAAUCUGCAAAUCAACGGGUUUGUUUGAGAUAUAUCGUUUAUCUUUAUAAAAUUAAUUUUGAAUCGGUAUAACAAAAAGGUGGUACCGCGCGCAAGCGCCCUUUAU
rnacentral:ncRNA from 1 species